AAAUAAUAAUAUCGAAUGAUAAAUAAAAAUAUGUUUUUUUAAUUAAAGGAAAUAUUUAUAAUAAAUAUUUGUUAAUGUAAAGUGUUCUUGUGCAUUAAAAAGUGAAAUAUUUGGAUUUAAAAUGGAAACCAUAAUAAAAACGGGAUUUCAAUCAAUAACCCACGAAAUUCAGUUCCAGCCACAGACAUUGGUAAAA